rnacentral:rRNA from 1 species
UGAGGAAUAUUGGUCAAUGGACGAGAGUCUGAACCAGCCAAGUAGCGUGCAGGAUGACGGCCCUAUGGGUUGUAAACUGCUUUUGUUUGGGAAUAAUCGACAUUACGUGUAAUGUUUUGCAUGUACCAUUCGAAUAAGGACCGGCUAAUUCCGUGCCAGCAGCCGCGGUAAUACGGAAGGUCCGGGCGUUAUCCGGAUUUAUUGGGUUUAAAGGGAGCGUAGGCGGAUUGUUAAGUCAGCGGUUAAAGGGUGUGGCUCAACCAUGCAUUGCCGUUGAAACUGGCGAUCUUGAGUGCAGACAGGGAUGCCGGAAUUCGUGGUGUAGCGGUGAAAUGCUUAGAUAUCACGAAGAACUCCGAUCGCGAAGGCAGGUGUCCGGGCUGCAACUGACGCUGAGGCUCGAAAGUGUGGGUAUCAAACAGG